rnacentral:tRNA from 1 species
CAGCCUUGUAGUUUAUGUUAGAAUGCUAGCUUUGGGGGUUAGUGGUCUCUUUGGGGAGUUAGCUGA